rnacentral:rRNA from 1 species
GUGCCAGCCGCCGCGGUAAUACGGAGGGUGCAAGCGUUAUCCGGAUUUAUUGGGUUUAAAGGGUGCGCAGGCGGAAUGAUAAGUCAGUGGUGAAAUCCUACAGCUCAACUGUAGAACUGCCAUUGAUACUGUCAUUCUUGAGUACAGUUGAAGUAGGCGGAAUGUAUCAUGUAGCGGUGAAAUGCAUAGAUAUGAUACAGAACUCCUAUGGCGAAGGCAGCUUACUAAACUGUAACUGACGCUCAGGCACGAAAGCGUGGGGAGCAAACAGGAUUAGAAACCCAGUAGUCC